UGGGGAAUAUUGGACAAUGGGGGCAACCCUGAUCCAGCAAUACCGCGUGUGUGAAGAAGGCCUUCGGGUUGUAAAGCACUUUAGGCGGGGAAGAAGGCAUGCAGUUUAAGAGAUAGUAUGUUUGACGGUACCCGCAGAAUAAGCACCGGCUAACUCUGUGCCAGCAGCCGCGGUAAUACAGAGGGUGCAAGCGUUAAUCGGAAUUACUGGGCGUAAAGGGCGCGUAGGUGGUUUGUUAAGUGAGAUGUGAAAUCCCUGGGCUCAACCUAGGAAUGGCAUUUUAUACUGGCAAGCUUGAGUACAUGAGAGGGUAGUGGAAUUUCCGGUGUAGCGGUGAAAUGCGUAGAUAUCGGAAGGAACACCAGUGGCGAAGGCGGCUACCUGGCAUGAUACUGACACUGAGGCGCGAAAGCGUGGGGAGCAAACAGG
rnacentral:rRNA from 1 species